ensembl:lncRNA
AGAUAUUCAAUAACAAAAAGAAAUGGAAUGAAUGAACAGCCACGGCAACAAACAUUUACUCACCAUCUUUCACAGCUGAUGCCAACUUUGAGGUCUUACCCUGGUGUUGAUAGUCGCUAAACUUCUCUGGGGUGGCUGCAUGGGUGCAGGAGGGCAGAGAGGAGCUACUCUACAUCCAAGGUCAGGAGGGGUGGCUGUGAGGAGAUACCCCUCAUCCAAGGUAAGGAGCAGUGGCUGCGCUUUGCUGGAGCAGCCACAAAGAG